CAGUAGCCGCGGGAAUACAGAGGCCUCAAGCGUUGUUCGGAUUCAUUGGGCGUAAAGGGUGCGUAGGUGGCUUGGUAAGUUGAAGGUGAAAUCUCGGGGCUUAACCCCGAAACUGCCUUCAAUACUGCUAGGCUCGAGGACUGUAGAGGAGAAUGGAAUUCACGGUGUAGCAGUGAAAUGCGUAGAUAUCGUGAGGAAGACCAGUGGCGAAGGCGAUUCUCUGGGCAGUUCCUGACACUGAGGCACGAAGGCCAGGGGAGCAAACGGGAUUAGAUACCCCGGUAGUCCCUGUCUCUUAUAC
rnacentral:rRNA from 1 species